rnacentral:rRNA from 1 species
UCGAGAAUCUUCCGCAAUGGGCGAAAGCCUGACGGAGCGACACCGCGUGCAGGACGAAGGCCCUCGGGUUGUAAACUGCUGUCACGCUCUAGGAACCCCAUGUCGUGAAUAGCGGCAUGGCUGACCAAGGCGAAAGGAAGUGGCGGCUAACUCUGUGCCAGCAGCCGCGGUAAGACAGAGGCCACGAACGUUGUUCGGAAUCACUGGGCAUAAAGGGCGCGUAGGCGGCAAUUCAAGUCAUCUGUGAAAUCUCCGGGCUUAACUCGGAACGGUCAGAUGAUACUGCUUUGCUAGAGUGCAGAAGGGGCAAUCGGAAUUCUUGGUGUAGCGGUGAAAUGCGUAGAUAUCAAGAGGAACACCUGAGGUGAAGACGGGUUGCUGGGCUGACACUGACGCUGAGGCGCGAAAGCCAGGGGAGCAAACGGGAUUAGAUACCCAUGUAGUCCCUGAGCGGGCUGGCAAGGCGCAU